rnacentral:rRNA from 1 species
UAGCCGCAGUAUUUUGACUGUGCGAAGGUAGCGUGAUAAUUAGGCUAUUAAUUGUAGUCUUGAAUGAAUGGUUAGACAUAAAACUUUCUGUUUUAUUUGUAUGGGUGAAUUUUAAUAAUUAGUAAAAAUGCUAAUAUGAGAUAUGAGGACGAGAAGACCCUAUUGAGUUUAAUAUAACCGUUUUGAGGGUAGUAGUGUGGGUUAAAAUAGGUAUAUUUAGUUGGGGCGACUUUUUUAUGAAACAUUAAAUGUAAAUGAUUUAUUGAUCCAUUAUUAAUGAUUAAUAGAAUAAAUUACCAUAGGGAUAACAGCAUAAUUUUAUCGUGGAGUUCGUAUCUAUGAUAAAGUUUGUGACCUCGAUGUUGAAUCAAGAUUCCUAGUGGGCGCAGGAGCUCAUUAAGGUAGACUGUUCGUCUAUUAAAUUCUUACG